UAGUCUGGUGCCAGCAGCCGCGGUAAUUCCAGCUCCAAUAGCGUAUAUUAAAGUUGUUGCAGUUAAAACGCUCGUAGUCGGAUUUCGGGGCAGGUUUGCCGGUCUGCCGAUGGGUAUGCACUGGUAGAACUGUCCUUCCUUCCGGAGACGGCGCCUACUCUUAACUGAGCGGGUGUCGGAGACGGAUCGUUUACUUUGAAAAAAUCAGAGUGUUUCAAGCAGGCAGCUCGCUUUUGCAUGGAUUAGCAUGGGAUAAUGAAAUAGGACUUUGGUGCUAUUUUGUUGGUUUCGAACACCGAAGUAAUGAUUAACAGGGACAGUCAGGGGCACUCGUAUUCCGCCGAGAGAGGUGAAAUUCUUAGACCAGCGGAAGACGAACCACUGCGAAAGCAUUUGCCAGGGAUGUUUUCACUGAUCAAGAACGAAAGUUAGGGGAUCGAAGACGAUCAGAUACCGUCCUAGUUCUAACCAUAAACGAUGUCGACUAGGGAUCAGCGGGCGUUAUUGUACGACCCCGUUGGCACCUUACGGGAAACCAAAGUCUUUGGAUUCCGGGGGAAGUAUGGUUGCAAAGCUGAAACUUAAAGGAAUUGACGGAAGGGCACCACCAGGAGUGGAGCCUGUGGCUCAAUUUGACUCAACACGGGAAAACUUACCAGGUCCAGACAUAGUAAGGAUUGACAGGUUGAGAGCCCUUUCUUGAUUCUAUGGGUGGUGGUGCAUGGCCGUUCUU
rnacentral:rRNA from 1 species